ACAGUAACAAAGGAUUUAAGUGAGAAUGCUGUGGGACCUCAGCUCCUAGAAAUAGCUUAGGACUCUCAGGGACUCCUUGAUUCUAUCAAGGAUAAUGAAGAGAUUAUCUUGGGAAAAAAAAAAAAAAAAACAGGAAAGAGCUCUCAGACAGCAGGGGGACUUAAUGUGAGCCACAGGCCUGAAAGAACCAAGCCCCUGAAAUGUCAACUCUCUGUGGACUUACAAAGGAAAAUAGCAAGAAAACUCUGCCUGGUUUGUUGAUAAAGGAUUGCGUUCAGGCCCAGCCAUCCUCCAGUUCCUUGGGCUAAGAUCGGGA
rnacentral:lncRNA from 1 species